UGGAGGUAGUGACAAUAAAUCACAAUGCGGGACUAUCAGUCUUGCAAUUGGAUUGAGAACAAUGUACAACUCUUAUCGAUAAGCCAUUGGAGGGCAAGUCUGGUGCCAGCAGCCGCGGUAAUUCCAGCUCCAAUAGCGUAUAUUAACGUUGUUGCAGUUAAAAAGCUCGUAGUUGAAGUGUGGGUGAUCGCUGUUGUGAGACUUCGGUCUCUCGACAGUAAGUCACCCCCUUCCAGUAUCCAGUAGUGGGUAUUCAGUUACUUACUAUUGUGUGUUGGUCGUUUACUGUGAGAAAAUUAGAGUGUUCAAAGCAGGCGUUUGCUUGAAUAGAUUAGCAUGGAAUAAUAAUUGAAGGCUUUCGUGUUCGAUUUGAUUGGUUUGUUCAUGGAAGCAAGGUUAAAAGGAACAGUUGGGGGUAUUCAUAUUCACUAGUUAGAGGUGAAAUUCUCGGAUUUAUGGAAGAUGAACAAGUGCGAAAGCAA
rnacentral:rRNA from 1 species